GCCAGGUAAGUAGAAAAGAGGCUCCUCAAUGCUUUCCUUAGACACCAACAACUUAGUCAGGUAAGCAAAUGAACCUAAUUAAAUAACCAUCUUUAAUACUUUCCUAGACACCACUUGAUCAAUGAAUCCAACAUUCGGUUAGCAAGUGAAUUCUGACACUACAACUUAAUAUAAUUUUAAUGAGAAUUUUAAACUGGUCUCUAACACAUCCUAAUAUUUACAUCAUAUGUAAUAUAUAUAUAAAAAGAAUGAAAAUAAUUUUCAUGUAUCAUAUCAUGCUAUAUAACAUGCUAUUCAAGU
rnacentral:lncRNA from 1 species